GUCCACUUAUCUGCUUGUUUGUAUGCCAAAACCACAUAGUCUUAGUUGCUGUAACUUUAAAGUAAAUUUUGAAGUCAACUUCAAGUUUGGACUAUUCUAGAUUCUUUGCAUUUCCAAAUAAGUUUUGGAUUUAAUUAGUCAGUUUCUGAUUAUCAGUCUGCUAAGAUUUUUUUUUUUUUCCUGCCAGUACUUCGUUUGCAACUGUGUUGACUUUAUAGAUAAGUUUGGGGAGAAGUGAUGUCCUAACAAUCUUAAGUAUCCCAUCCAUGAACAUAGUAUCACUCUCAAUUUAUGUCUUAAUUUUUCUCAGCAGUGUUUUGUAGUUUUCAACGUAGAAGUCUUCUCUUUCAUUAACUUUAUCCCUAAGUGUUUUUUUUCAUCAACUUUACUGAGGUAUAAUUUACAUAUUAUAAAUUGUGCCCAUUUUAACUCUACAGUUUAAUAUGUUUUAGUUGAUUAUGUUUAUUGAUGUAAUGGUAAACAGGACUGGUUUUAUUUUCCAAUGUUUGAUGCUAGUUUAUAGAAAUAGAAACAUCUGGUUGUGAUGUCUCUUAAAAUUCUUUUAUUCUUCAAGAGUACAUAGCCUCUAUUUCUUCUUUAUGACACUGGCUUGUUUAUACAUAUGAAUAAAUUAAAAUUAUAUUAAAAAUUCAGAUCCUCAGUCACACU